rnacentral:rRNA from 1 species
UACGAAGGGGGCUAGCGUUGCUCGGAAUCACUGGGCGUAAAGGGCGCGUAGGCGGCCAUUCAAGUCGGGGGUGAAGGCCCAGGGCUCAACCCUGGAAUUGCCUUCGAUACUGUUUGGCUAGAGACCGGAAGAGGUAAGUGGAACUGCGAGUGUAGAGGUGAAAUUCGUAGAUAUCGCAAGAACACCAGUGGCGAAGGCGGCUUACUGGUCCGGUUCUGACGCUGAGGCGCGAAAGCGUGGGGAGCAAACAGG